UACGAAGGGUGCAAACGUUGCUCGGAAUUAUUGGGCGUAAAGCGCACGUAGGCGGCUUUGCAAGUCCCAUGUGAAAUCCCACGGCUUAACCGUGGAAGUGCAUGGGAAACUGCAGAGCUUGAGUACUUAAGAGGAUCGCGGAAUUCCCGGUGUAGAGGUGAAAUUCGUAGAUAUCGGGAGGAACACCAGUGGCGAAGGCGGACGAUCUGGGAAGAUACUGACGCUGAGGUGCGAAAGCGUGGGGAGCAAACAGG
rnacentral:rRNA from 1 species